rnacentral:tRNA from 1 species
GGGGAGAUGACGGAGUGGUUGAACGUGCUCGUCUCGAAAACGAGUAGGGUGUAAAAAGCCCUCGAGAGUUCGAAUCUCUCUCUCCCCGCCA